UACGAAGGGGGCUAGCGUUGUUCGGAAUCACUGGGCGUAAAGGGCGCGUAGGCGGCUUUAUAAGUCGGGGGUGAAAGCCUGUGGCUCAACCACAGAAUUGCCUUCGAUACUGUAGAGCUUGAGACCGGAAGAGGUAAGUGGAACUGCGAGUGUAGAGGUGAAAUUCGUAGAUAUUCGCAAGAACACCAGUGGCGAAGGCGGCUCACUGGCCCGAUACUGACGCUGAGGCACGAAAGCGUGGGAAGCAAACAGG
rnacentral:rRNA from 1 species